rnacentral:rRNA from 1 species
GGUGAACGCUGGCGGCGUGCCUAAUACAUGCAAGUCGAGCGAACAGAUAAGGAGCUUGCUCCUUUGACGUUAGCGGCGGACGGGUGAGUAACACGUGGGUAACCUACCUAUAAGACUGGGAUAACUUCGGGAAACCGGAGCUAAUACCGGAUAACAUUUGGAACCGCAUGGUUCUAAAGUGAAAGAUGGUUUUGCUAUCACUUAUAGAUGGACCCGCGCCGUAUUAGCUAGUUGGUAAGGUAACGGCUUACCAAGGCGACGAUACGUAGCCGACCUGAGAGGGUGAUCGGCCACACUGGAACUGAGACACGGUCCAGACUCCUACGGGAGGCAGCAGUAGGGAAUCUUCCGCAAUGGGCGAAAGCCUGACGGAGCAACGCCGCGUGAGUGAUGAAGGGUUUCGGCUCGUAAAACUCUGUUAUUAGGGAAGAACAAACGUGUAAGUAACUGUGCACGUCUUGACGGUACCUAAUCAGAAAGCCACGGCUAACUACGUG